ACAGAGGUGGCAACAGGAGUUCAGGAAACAGGACAAGAAUGGGAAGGAGUCAGAUGCAUAGCCUGGUGAGGCCCAGUUAUACACAGACCCAGAGUCCCUAUUAGUCACACAGUGAUGAAGUUGUUUGGUGCCACGGACACAGAACAACACAUAAUAGAACAGAUGUGGUAUCGCACCAUGUUAAAUGCAGACCAUUUAUGCAAAGGGUCUCAACGUUGGCACUAAUAACAUUAUGGGAUAAAUAAUUCUUUUUUUUUUUUUUCUUCUGGAGCUGAGGACCGAACCCAGGGCCUUGCGCUUGCUAGGCAAGCACUCUACCACUGAGCUAAAUCCCCAACCCAGGGAUAAAUAAUUCUGUCAUCACUAUCAUACACACCAAGUAAGCAGCUCCUCUGACUUCUGCCCACCAGAUGUCAAUAGCAAGCACAAUAUCACCGCCACCACUAAGCUGUGACAACCAAGACUGUCUCCACACAUUACCUAGUCAGUGUUUCCUAAGGGGCAAAAACUUCCCCUGGUUGAGGGUUACGGAUGCAGAUGCACACAGUGUUACAUGUAGGCAUACAAACAAAGGAUCACCUCUGGUUCCAUCUUCCCAAAUGUUCACAUACAAAGCUAUAUGUCACAGGGACAUUCACAGUCAUAUGGAGACAGGUCAUUCAGUCACAGAUACAUAGAGGUAGCAGCCACUACUACUUCCUCAGUCACAGGGAAAAAAGAGAAGAACUUGAGAUAAUUCCCUGAACCCAACUGUCUCAGGUUUUCCUAUAAUGUUUUUUUGGGGGGGAUGUUUUUGUUUUGGAGGCAGGUAGGGGGUUGAGACAGGCCUCACUGAGAAGCCCAGACAGGCCUGAAAAAUACUAUAUAGUCCAAGCUGGACUCAAAAUCUUCAUGAUCAUCCUGCCUCAGCCUUGCAUGUGCUGGAACUACACGACUUCCAACUUUAUAAUAAGUUUUUCUAUGCCUUGGACCCAAUCACUCCCUACUUCCCUGAGAACACCAGGUCCCUGGAAAUUGCUUCCCUAGCCUCCCAGAUCUGCAGUGAUCUGUCUCCAGCCCUUCAAGUGACAAUAAACCAGCUACGCUGGUGCACACCUGUAUCCAUGAAAUUGAGACAGGAAAACUCAAAGCUUGAACAGUUAGGACUACACAGCUAGACCCCAUCAAAAGAAAGAAAAGGGCCCUCACUCAUGUUCAUGUAAGCAACCCUAAUUAAACUCAUGGGGUCAAAGUCACACACUCAGACACACACACACACACACACACACA